rnacentral:rRNA from 1 species
GACGAACGCUGGCGGCGUGCUUAACACAUGCAAGUCGAACGAUGAACCCGGAGCUUGCUCCGGCGGAUUAGUGGCGAACGGGUGAGUAGCACGUGAGUAACCUGCCCUUGACUCUGGGAUAACUGCGGGAAACUGUAGCUAAUACCGGAUACGACCCUCGGCGGCAUCGCCAGGGGGUGGAAAGAAUUUCGGUCAAGGAUGGACUCGCGGCCUAUCAGCUAGUUGGUGAGGUAACGGCUCACCAAGGCGACGACGGGUAGCCGGCCUGAGAGGGUGAGCGGCCACACUGGGACUGAGACACGGCCCAGACUCCUACGGGAGGCAGCAGUGGGGAAUAUUGCACAAUGGGCGCAAGCCUGAUGCAGCAACGCCGCGUGAGGGAUGACGGCCUUCGGGUUGUAAACCUCUUUCAGCACCGACGAAGCGCAAGUGACGGUAGGUGCAGAAGAAGGACCGGCCAACUACGUGCCAGCCGCCGCCGUAA